ACCGCCUCGCGAGAGCGCUGUGACGAAGCUACCGCGGCCCCGCAGGCGUGAGGGAGGGGAGGGGGUGCGGCUGCCGGCUGCCAGCGGAGGGCUUGGCGGGGCCAUCCAGUAGGGGAGCGGGAAGGAGCUUUACGGAGCGUUUGAUCUAACACGGGGAUGAUUAACAAAGAUGGACAACAGCAUUAUAGUCACUUUGGGCAGCUGAAGCUGACCACGUAAGUGCAGCAUACCAAGUCAGGCGAGGAAGGGGCAUAAAAUUUGCCCUCUGAAAAAAAAAGAGAAGAAACACCCCUCACUUGCAGAAAGAAAAUUCUGACUGGGAAAUACCAGGGAGCUUGUAUGAAAAGCAGUAAGACAAACAGAUCUGAUCUCUUUGUGGCCCAUGUCAAAAUUCCUCUGGAUGGCAGCAAGACUGGGAUCCAACUGGAAUCACGCAGAUGCAGCUGCCAGGAAACACGAGUAACCUGUGUGCAUGACUACCUUUGUGUUUACACUUCGUGCAUCUUCCAGCAAUGCACCUCUUUUUGGGACAGGGCAGUUUUUAAGUCUGAUCCUCUCAGUGUGCUGCUGGUUGUGCACCCACACAAACGGGGGAACCAGCUGGACACAGGUCUCGCCAACUCUUUCUGAGAUGUGUUGCAGAUGGAGCACAGAGACUCUCAGACUCUAAGGUGAUAUAUGAAUCCUGAGGCAAAAGAAGACCUGAACCCAAACAAUCAACUGAGGCUUUUACCAUCUGACCAACUUCCUCUACAGUCUUACUGGAUGAUAAUGAAAAAUAAGUGGUUCAUUUCACCAAUAAUCUAAUAAUACAGAAUUUGUAUUAUAUGCAUAUGCGUACACAUGCAAAAGAUAGAAAUUUGUUUGUAUUUUUUUAGGUAAUAUUUAUGACCUAAUGACUUUUUAUGUAAUAUAUGCACUGCUUCUGUAGAUACAAAUUAUAGAUAGACAUAUGCUUUUAAAAUGUGCUAGUAUGACACUUGUAUGACAUGUCUCUCAAUGAAGAAUUAAUAUUUCUUACUUUUUUUCUCCUUUCAUUUCUCAUUGCAAUGCACAAGAAAGCAGUUUCAGCUUAUUUUGGCGGAGGUGCACUUAGAAAUGUGUAGCGUUUAUUUGCAGUACUGCUCUCACAAAAUGUUGCCAUGCUGUGGCACUUCUUUGAAGUUCUUCUCUGAAAGGUUCUUUGCAAAGGCUGUGUAGGAGGCUUUGCAACCGGGAGGUUUGGAAUUGUUUUUCUGAAAAUUAUUCUGAAAAGUCUGUCCUUUUCAAGGUCUUGGCCAGGUGCACAGCUAUUUUCCUCUUUCCAUUUCCUUUAACUCUGCAGCACAGAAUAAUAGGCCCUAUCUGAAAUUUUAUAUAUGUAAUGCAUUGCAGACUCUGCCACAUACUUCCCUUUUCAGCAGGCUUAUUGAACACCAAGGCACUUGCAGUGAUUCUUCUGUCAGCCUAACAUUCAGUCUCUCAGAGAUCAGCCAAACGUAGGGACCAGUUCUACCACCACCACGCUCAUGGUGCUUUCUUUACAUUACAUUCCCAAACGUCAAUGGAUCUCUCAUAAAUUGCUAUGAUCUGUGUCAAGAUAGAGUUCUCAGCAUGUGUCUCAUGCUCACCUGCAUCACCAAACAGCCUCACAAGGAAGGUGUCUCCAUGAAUACUGACCAGCCAGCAACAGCACUGCAGCCAGUCCCCUGAGAGAAAGCUCCCUCCAGUUUUGACCACUGCCACAGAAAGGAGAACGAGAGCCCCCAACGCACUCCAAUGCUAUUCUUCAUGGGAUCUCAGCUCAUCACGACACAGAAGAAGAAACACUAGAAACUGACUUGUAACCAGUGCUCUUCACUCAGUGUUGUCAAGCACAUGUGUCACUGGGCUGGUAGAUUAAACCUGUGUCCAUAAUGAAGAGGAGGAGCCAAGUGGUCCACCAGUAAAGAUCCCAGUCUGCUUCAGUUGGUUCCUUUCCUGAUGGAUGCCACAAAUAUCCUGCACAGAACACAGCACAGACCACGUUAAUGCAGCACACCAGGGUGGCAGUGGCACUCUUCUAAGGCUGUUCCUCCAGGAAGCUCACCAACAUCCUUGCAGGAUCAGUCUGAAGCUACGCUUUGACACUUUGCCUUUUGCAUAGAGAGGCGGCCCUAAGGUUUUUGCAUACAUUGAUACGUACAUGAAAAAGCAGAUACUUGCCCUAGUCCCAGGCACUUGCAGUAAAGAUCCAUAGAGAACUUGAAUAAUCAUAAUUUCUUAGUGCAUUAAAGAGUUCAGACUACAGAAAGAAGACAUUUCCGAGAAACAGAUUUUAUAGACUGAGCUGAACAGAUUUUUGGCAUUAUUUGUAAGCCAGUCAUUGUUAAGCCUUUGUACUUAGAAGAGCAAUUAUGACUCCUUUGGAAACAUCCUUAGUUGAACUCUUAAAAUAAUAAAAACACUCCUCCGUAAGA